CAGUCGCCGCGGUAAUGCGAAGGGGGCUAGCGUUGUUCGGAUUUACUGGGCGUAAAGGGCGCGUAGGCGGGCGAUUUAGUCAGGGGUGAAAUCCCAAGGCUCAACCUUGGAACUGCCUUUGAUACUGAUCGUCUUGAGUUCGAGAGAGGUAAGUGGAACUGCGAGUGUAGAGGUGAAAUUCGUAGAUAUUCGCAAGAACACCAGUAGCGAAGGCGGCUUACUGGCUCGAUACUGACGCUGAGGCGCGAAAGCGUGGGGAGCAAACAGGAUUAGAUACCCCCGUAGUCCCUGUCUCUUAUAC
rnacentral:rRNA from 1 species